GGGGAUUUAGCUCAGCGGUAGAGCGCUUGCCUAGCAAGCGCAAGGCCCUGGGUUCGGUCCCCAGCCCCG
rfam:Rattus norvegicus chromosome 11, whole genome shotgun sequence.